rnacentral:rRNA from 1 species
AACGAACGCUGGCGGCGCGUCUUAAGCAUGCAAGUCGAACGGCAAGAGAGGAGCUUGCUUCUCUCCUAGAGUGGCGGACUGGUGAGGAACACGUGGGUAAUCUACCCUUAAGAUGGGGAUAGCUGCUAGAAAUAGCAGGUAAUACCGAAUACACUCGGCAUAUCACAAGAGGUGUUGAGGAAAGGAAGCUACGGCUUCGCUUGAGGAUGAGCUUGCGUCCCAUUAGCUAGUUGGUGAGGUAAAGGCCCACCAAGGCGACGAUGGGUAUCCGGCCUGAGAGGGUGAACGGACACAUUGGGACUGAGAUACGGCCCAAACUCCUACGGGAGGCAGCAGCCAAGAAUAUUCCGCAAUGGACGGAAGUCUGACGGAGCGACGCCGCGUGGAUGAAGAAGGCUGAAAAGUUGUAAAAUCCUUUUGUUGAUGAAGAAUAAGGGUGAGAGGGAAUGCUCAUCUGAUGACGGUAAUCGACGAAUAAGCCCCGGCUAAUUACGUG